CCCUUAGAUGUUCUGGGCCGCACGCGUGCUACACUGACCGGCGCAACAAGUUUCUUUCCUUGGCUCGAUAGGCCUGGGUAAUCUUUGAACGCCGGUCGUGAUGGGGAUAGAUCCUUGCAAUUUUUGAUCUUCAACGAGGAAUUCCUAGUAAAUGCGAGUCAUCAUCUCGCGUUGAUUACGUCCCUGCCCUUUGUACACACCGCCCGUCGCACCUACCGAUUGAAUGGUCCGGUGAAGCCUCGGGAUUGCGAAUGCUUCGUGCGGACGCGAGAACUCGGCUAAACCUUACCAUUUAGAGGAAGGCGAAGUCGUAACA
rnacentral:rRNA from 1 species